rnacentral:rRNA from 1 species
ACAGCAGCCGCCGCGGGAAAACGGAGGAUCCAAGCGUUAUCCGGAUUUAUUGGGUUUAAAGGGUGCGUAGGUGGCCUGUUAAGUCAGGGGUGAAAGACGGUAGCUCAACUAUCGCAGUGCCCUUGAUACUGAUGGGCUUGAAUGAACUAGAGGUAGGCGGAAUGUGACAAGUAGCGGUGAAAUGCAUAGAUAUGUCACAGAACACCAAUUGCGAAGGCAGCUUACUAUGGUUUGAUUGACACUGAGGCACGAAAGCGUGGGGAUCAAACAGGAUUAGAUACCCCAGUAGUCCCUGUCUCUUAUAA